UUUAAGGUAAAAGAAAAUAAAUAAUGAAAAGAGACUGCCAGGGACCGAAAUGAAGCGCACCCAAAAUAACAAGGACCAAAUUGGACAAAACUCCUAGCCCUACCAUGCGCUUCAGCCCUACAGAUCAAAGGACCGAUUUAAAAAACGAGCAAUAUUUGAUGGCCAAAUGAAGAGAAAAAGAGAAGAUAAAAUAGGGCUUGAUCGAAGGAUGCUAAAAGAUGGAGGGACGUCAUACACAUAUAUCCCAAUAAUCGAGGAUGCACGGAUCCACACCCCACCAAACAGCGCUGUUUUUCAUUUGUUUAAAGACAAGACCUUUUUUUUAACUUCACUUCAGCCAUUUUUUUAAAAACAAAAUCAAAAGCCCCCUUCUUUUUCUUUCUAUUUCUCUAUUAGGGUUUUAAAACCCUCCUACUACGCCGCCGCACCACCACCGUGUCCGGUGGCAUAUGAGCGCAAAGAUGGGCUUUUAGCUUCCUAUUCAAGCCAUGCAUGAAGGCCAAGCCCUCUUCCCCUCAAUAAACCGAAAGAAGAAUCCCUCCGUUUCCCUUUUAUUUUGGUUCGACUUCGACAGUGGAGAAGAAAUCUCCGAUGACGAAUCCACGGGCAGAUUUCAGUGAGGUGUUAGAGGCAUGGGUGAGUGGUGGUUGGCUCGCGAGGAGGCGAAGCGACGUGUGUGGUGACCCUGCUGGUGAGGAGCAGCUGCUGCAAUAGGGACUAGCCCUAGGGUUAGUUUGUUGAAAAAGUUUAAGAUAAUGGGCUAGGAUUUGGGUUAGGGUUUGAUGUAAUGGGUUAUUUAGUUUUGGGUUUGGCCUUGCAGCUUGUUUUUGUAAAAUGGACUUUAUUUAUUUUGGGAUUUUUUAUUUUGGAAUUAAUUUGGUUUGUUUGGGGUUCUUUUUUUGUUUUAUUGGUCCAGGCCAAAAUUGGCCAUUACAAGUUAGACUGCCUAUGAUUUUCUGUUUCUAUGAUUUAAUUAUUUAUAGUUUUGCUUAAAGCAAUACUUGGAAUCAA